rnacentral:rRNA from 1 species
UACGUAGGGCGCAAGCGUUGUCCGGAAUUAUUGGGCGUAAAGAGCUCGUAGGUGGCUUGUCGCGUCUGCCGUGAAAGCCCGUGGCUUAACUACGGGUCUGCGGUGGAUACGGGCAGGCUAGAGGCUGGUAGGGGCAAGCGGAAUUCCUGGUGUAGCGGUGAAAUGCGCAGAUAUCAGGAGGAACACCGGUGGCGAAGGCGGCUUGCUGGGCCAGUUCUGACGCUGAGGCACGAAGGCCAGGGGAGCAAACGGG